rnacentral:rRNA from 1 species
UGGAUCCUGAGUACGACGGAGCACGUGAAAUUCCGUCGGAAUCUGGGAGGACCAUCUCCUAAGGCUAAAUACUCUAGUGACCGAUAGUGAACCAGUUGAGGGAAAGGUGAAAAGCACCCCGGAAGGGGAGUGAAAUAGAACCUGAAACCGUGUGCUUACAAGUAGUCAGAGCCCGUUAAUGGGGAUGGCGUGCCUUUUGUAGAAUGAACCGGCGAGUUACGAUUUGAUGCAAGGUUAAGCAGUAAAUGUGGAGCCGUAGCGAAAGCGAGUCUGAAUAGGGCGUUUAGUAUUUGGUCGUAGACCCGAAACCAGGUGAUCUACCCUUGGUCAGGUUGAAGUUCAGGUAACACUGAAUGGAGGACCGAACCGACUUACGUUGAAAAGUGAGCGGAUGAACUGAGGGUAGCGGAGAAAUUCCAAUCGAACCUGGAGAUAGCUGGUUCUCUCCGAAAUAGCUUUAGGGCUAGCCUCAAGUGAUGAUUAUUGGAGGUAGAGCACUGUUUGGACGAGGGGCCCCUCUCGGGUUACCGAAUUCAGACAAACUCCGAAUGCCAAUUAAUUUAACUUGGGAGUCAGAACAUGGGUGAUAAGGUCCGUGUUCGAAAGGGAAACAGCCCAGACCACCAGCUAAGGUCCCAAAAUAUAUGUUAAGUGGAAAAGGAUGUGGCGUUGCCCAGACAACUAGGAUGUUGGCUUAGAAGCAGCCAUCAUUUAAAGAGUGCGUAAUAGCUCACUAGUCGAGUGACACUGCGCCGAAAAUGUACCGGGGCUAAACAUAUUACCGAAGCUGUGGAUUGUCCUUUGGACAAUGGUAGGAGAGCGUUCUAAGGGCGUUGAAGCAUGAUCGUAAGGACAUGUGGAGCGCUUAGAAGUGAGAAUGCCGGUGUGAGUAGCGAAAGACGGGUGAGAAUCCCGUCCACCGAUUGACUAAGGUUUCCAGAGGAAGGCUCGUCCGCUCUGGGUUAGUCGGGUCCUAAGCUGAGGCCGACAGGCGUAGGCGAUGGAUAACAGGUUGAUAUUCCUGUACCACCUAUAAUCGUUUUAAUCGAUGGGGGGACGCAGUAGGAUAGGCGAAGCGUGCGAUUGGAUUGCACGUCUAAGCAGUAAGGCUGAGUAUUAGGCAAAUCCGGUACUCGUUAAGGCUGAGCUGUGAUGGGGAGAAGACAUUGUGUCUUCGAGUCGUUGAUUUCACACUGCGAGAAAAGCCUCUAGAUAGAAAAUAGGUGCCCGUACCGCAAACCGACACAGGUAGUCAAGAUGAGAAUUCUAAGGUGAGCGAGCGAACUCUCGUUAAGGAACUCGGCAAAAUGACCCCGUAACUUCGGGAGAAGGGGUGCUCUUUAGGGUUAACGCCCAGAAGAGCCGCAGUGAAUAGGCCCAAGCGACUGUUUAUCAAAAACACAGGUCUCUGCUAAACCGUAAGGUGAUGUAUAGGGGCUGACGCCUGCCCGGUGCUGGAAGGUUAAGAGGAGUGGUUAGCUUCUGCGAAGCUACGAAUCGAAGCCCCAGUAAACGGCGGCCGUAACUAUAACGGUCCUAAGGUAGCGAAAUUCCUUGUCGGGUAAGUUCCGACCCGCACGAAAGGCGUAACGAUUUGGGCACUGUCUCAACGAGAGACUCGGUGAAAUCAUAGUACCUGUGAAGAUGCAGGUUGCCCGCGACAGGACGGAAAGACCCCGUGGAGCUUUACUGUAGCCUGAUAUUGAAAUUCGGCACAGCUUGUACAGGAUAGGUAGGAGCCUUUGAAACGUGAGCGCUAGCUUACGUGGAGGCGCUGGUGGGAUACUACCCUAGCUGUGUUGGCUUUCUAACCCGCACCACUUAUCGUGGUGGGAGACAGUGUCAGGCGGGCAGUUUGACUGGGGCGGUCGCCUCCUAAAAGGUAACGGAGGCGCUCAAAGGUUCCCUCAGAAUGGUUGGAAAUCAUUCAUAGAGUGUAAAGGCAUAAGGGAGCUUGACUGCGAGACCUACAAGUCGAGCAGGGUCGAAAGACGGACUUAGUGAUCCGGUGGUUCCGCAUGGAAGGGCCAUCGCUCAACGGAUAAAAGCUACCCCGGGGAUAACAGGCUUAUCUCCCCCAAGAGUUCACAUCGACGGGGAGGUUUGGCACCUCGAUGUCGGCUCAUCGCAUCCUGGGGCUGUAGUCGGUCCCAAGGGUUGGGCUGUUCGCCCAUUAAAGCGGUACGCGAGCUGGGUUCAGAACGUCGUGAGACAGUUCGGUCCCUAUCCGUCGUGGGCGUAGGAAAUUUGAGAGGAGCUGUCCUUAGUACGAGAGGACCGGGAUGGACAUACCUCUGGUGUACCAGUUGUCGUGCCAACGGCAUAGCUGGGUAGCUAUGUGUGGACGGGAUAAGUGCUGAAAGCAUCUAAGCAUGAAGCCCCCCUCAAGAUGAGAUUUCCCAACUUCGGUUAUAAGAUCCCUCAAAGAUGAUGAGGUUAAUAGGUUCGAGGUGGAAGCAUGGUGACAUGUGGAGCUGACGAAUACUAAUCGAUCGAAGACUUAAUCAAAA